GUUACCACAGCCCCCAGGUUUAGCUCUUCCUGUGGAGCCGGCUUCCAACCAGCCUGAGUAUCGGUGCUGACUGAGAUCCCCUUAACCACUAGGCACCUCCGAAGGUGGCCCCUCCUUCCAGGCUGGAGAAAAGCUGUUUCACCUACUGCACAGAAACCAACCCAGAGUCCAGCAGAGUGCAGGAGCAGAGCUGCAUUGAUACUCUGGGAGUAAGGCCCAGACUAAAGUAGGUGUAACUGCUUGGCCUGCUUGCUCUUCUGGGACCACUAGCACAUCCUGACUUCAGAAUCUUGCAACAUCACCUGUGUACAAAAGUACCAAGAAACAAUAAAGAAGGGAAGGUACAUAUGGGGAAAAGUGCUUAUUCCUUAUAGGGUAAGUUAUUCUUCUGCUAUCUCCCCAUAAGGAGGCCUUGAACCAAUUACCUGGGCUGUUUUCCUGGGAAGAGAAGGUAGGAGGAAGCGGUGCUGGGUCCGCUCCCAGAUGUGAGUGUGUGCAGCCAACACAACCCUAGAAUUGUUUUUUUCUUCUGUCAACCCAAAGAGCAAGAUCCACGGUCCCCCCUCACUCCCCAGAGAUUCUGGUCUCCUGUCUAGGAAGGAGAUUCAUAGAAUAUCAUUAAACUCUGGUUCCAGUCCAGGCAAGGUAAUAUAGACCCGUGCCUCCCUACUCAUUCCCACCAAGAGCAACUAUAAAGUCUGGAGUGAGGUGUAGAAGGAGAAAGGUGAGCUUCUUAGGGACCCCAGGACUCAGGGAACAAGAGAGGCAGAAAAGCCAGAGAACCCCUCUCCACCUGGAAACAAUGGUGUCCUGAGGCCUUGGCAAAGGGGAUCCCACACAAGUGGCUGCCACCCCUUCAGGCAUCCCAGCAGGGAUCAGUGGGUGCUCCAGAAGCACCAGACCAACCAAGCAGACAACAAUAGCUUGACAAAAGGCUCUAAGAAUUAAAUAGCGACAAACGUAGAACCUAAACAGGGUGACUGCAUGCAAAAAUGCGAGAUUGAAAUGGGGUCCAUAUUAGGCAAAAUUCCAGGAAGCAAUUUUAAGAAAUCACCUGUCAUACCAAGAAUCAGGAAAAUCACAGCUUAAAUGAGUAAAGACAAUCAACUGAUGCCCACAUGGAAAUGAAUCAGACACUGGAAUUGUCAACAAGAAUUUGAAAGCAGGCGUCAUAAAAAUGCUCCAGGAAUUGAUUACAAAUUAUCUCCAAACAAAUGAAAAAAAUAGAAUAUUUCAGCAAAGAUAUACAAGUUAUAGAAAAGAACCAAACACAUUAUAAAACUGAAAAAUACACUAACUGAAAUAAAAAAUUCACUGGAUGGGCUUAAUUAGUAGAGUGGCCUUUUAUGCUCAGCCCAAAGCCUUUGGCAUACUCCACCCCAUUGGCAAACCAGGUGCACACUGGGUGCCAAGUCAAAGUUCAGCCCUCUGGAAACUAAAAAGAUCAUCAAAGACCUAUCAGAAAAUUCCAGCCUUGCAACUAGGUAUCUAAUAAUCACAUGCUCACGAAUUGCCCUCGAGCCCCAAGUGUAUUUUCCCUUUUUAAAAUUUCAUUUAUUCCACAAUGAUUAAUGAUCAUCUCCUAUGUGUUAAGGAUUAUGCUAGACACUGUAAAGACGUAAGUGAACAAAAUAGUCUUUGCACUCACGGAGCUUAGAGCUAUUUCCCAUUCGGAAGUGUACCCAAACAGAGGGCUUGUCCCACCUUAGCAUUUUUUCCAACCAAGUUUCUUAAUGUUUAGAAGCACAACUCUUUGCAACCUUCCUGUGGGGGUUCAGUGACCUGAGACAUUAUCAGAGUAGAGAAAUAAAUGUUUACAUGGGAAUAGAAACUAAUCUGAACCAUUUAGGAAGCAACCUCACAUUAGUCAAACAUGUCUCUCUCAGUGUUUUCUAUCUCCCUGGAAUGACCCAAUUCUUAAAAUUCAGAUUCCAAGUGGAUAUGAGGAGAGGUGAAGUGUGUGGGUCCGAACGACCACAGGGAGCAUGAGGACAGUGAGGAAGGUGAUGGUGAGGACGGUGAGGAUGCCUGCAGCUGAGCAGGCUCCCAUCCUGGGCACAUGCACAGUGUGGAAGGGGAAGCACCUCCUAUGGGUGAGACUAGGCUUCGUAACCAAUCCACCGUCUUUUCAUAUUUACCUUAUAUUUAACCUUAUUGUGUGGAAUGCAGGUGUCAAGCUCCUUGGGUCAAAGAUUCUUCCAGUGACAUCUAAGGAGCAGAUUCUCAUGUCCACAUCAUGAUGUAAAGGCUUCCUGCUUUCUGCAUGGUGAGGUCUUGAGGUUCACUCUCUUAGGAAUCUCUCUUUCUCCUUGAUGCUGAUAUUAUAUUAUGGACUGUGAACGCCUCCCACUUGGGAGAGAUUCCUUCCCUUUAGAAAACCAAACCAGUGCCGUUACCGAGAGGAAGGCAGCAGGCAGCCAGCCACUUAGGACUGCCUGGUCUUUCCCAAAAUAGUCGUUUUGUCUUGCAUGAGCUCAAAUCCAGAUCUCCAAAAGAACACAUCAGAUUUUUGAGGCCAGACACUAGCUGGCAAUAAAGAGUGUGUAUUUCUAGGGAGUGUCCUCUAGCUUAGUCCUCCCUUUGGAACUAACCAGUGUGGCCAAGUCUGUAGUAGAAGUAAUUUGGGCAUUGGGAACUCUGGACCCGGCCCAAGAAUUUUCCAACUCACCACAGUGAGUAAAAUUUAAUACAUGUUGACAUAAUCUAAUACUUAAUUGCAUCAUUUAUUCCGUUGUUCCAAGAACUCAUUCCUAAUGGAGGAAAGCUAGAGUAUAUAAUUAUAUAUACAUAGAGAGGGAGGGAGAGAAAUUUGGUGCUAAAUUAUAUAAUGUUUGUUAAUUAUCUCACAGGUUUCAGUAGAAUUGUUUGUUCCAUUAAAUUGAAUGAU